AGAGCGAACGCUGGCGGCAGGCUUAAUACAUGCAAGUCGAGCGCCUGUAGCAAUACAGGAGCGGCAGACGGGAGAGUAACACGUGGGAACGUGCCCUUUGGUUCGGAACAACACAGGGAAACUUGUGCUAAUACCGGAUAAGCCCUUACGGGGAAAGAUUUAUUGCCAAAGGAUCGGCCCGCGUCUGAUUAGCUAGUUGGUGGGGUAAUGGCCCACCAAGGCGACGAUCAGUAGCUGGUCUGAGAGGAUGAUCAGCCAGACUGGGACUGCGAACGGCCCAGACUCCUACGGGAGGCAGCAGUUAGGAAUUUGGGCAAUGGGCGAAAGCCUGACCCAGCAACGCCGCGUGGGUGAUGAAGGCCCUCGGGUCGUAAAGCCCUUUUCCCAGGGAAGAUAAUGACGGUACCUGGGAAUCGAGCCCCGGCUAACUACGUGCCAGCAGCCGC
rnacentral:rRNA from 1 species